CUAUCACGCUUGCGUUGCUGACUUCUGCCAACUUGCGGCAAGCAAGGAUAAAGAGUGCGACGGGCAGCCUCCUCA
rnacentral:sRNA from 1 species